rnacentral:rRNA from 1 species
AACGAACGCUGGCGGCAUGCCUAACACAUGCAAGUCGAACGAGACCUUCGGGUCUAGUGGCGCACGGGUGCGUAACGCGUGGGAACCUGCCCUUAGGUUCGGAAUAACUCCCCGAAAGGGGUGCUAAUACCGGAUAAUGUCUUCGGACCAAAGAUUUAUCGCCUUUGGAUGGGCCCGCGUUGGAUUAGCUAGUUGGUAGGGUAAAAGCCUACCAAGGCGACGAUCCAUAGCUGGUCUGAGAGGAUGAUCAGCCACACUGGGACUGAGACACGGCCCAGACUCCUACGGGAGGCAGCAGUGGGGAAUAUUGGACAAUGGGCGAAAGCCUGAUCCAGCAAUGCCGCGUGAGUGAUGAAGGUCUUAGGGUUGUAAAGCUCUUUUACCCGGGAUGAUAAUGACAGUACCGGGAGAAUAAGCCCCGGCUAACUCCGUG